UAGGGAAUCUUCGGCAAUGGGGGGAACCCUGACCGAGCAACGCCGCGUGAGUGAAGAAGGUUUUCAGAUCGUAAAGCUCUGUUGUUAAGGAAGAACGAGUGUGAGAAUGGAAAGUUCAUGCUGUGACGGUACUUAACCAGAAAGGGACGGCUAACUACGUGCCAGCAGCCGCGGUAAUACGUAGGUCCCGAGCGUUGUCCGGAUUUAUUGGGCGUAAAGCGAGCGCAGGCGGUUAGAAAAGUCUGAAGUGAAAGGCAGUGGCUCAACCAUUGUAGGCUUUGGAAACUGUUUAACUUGAGUGCAGAAGGGGAGAGUGGAAUUCCAUGUGUAGCGGUGAAAUGCGUAGAUAUAUGGAGGAACACCGGUGGCGAAAGCGGCUCUCUGGGCUGUAACUGACGCUGAGGCUCGAAAGCGUGGGGAGCGAACAGG
rnacentral:rRNA from 1 species